GAUGAACGCUGGCGGCGUGCCUAAUACAUGCAAGUCGAGCGGACCACUUCGGUGGUGAGCGGCGAACGGGUGAGUAACACGUAGGUUAUCUGCCCAUCAGACGGGGACAACGAUUGGAAACGAUCGCUAAUACCGGAUAGGACGAAAGUUUAAAGGUGCUUCGGCACCACUGAUGGAUGAGCCUGCGGCGCAUUAGCUAGUUGGUAGGGUAAAGGCCUACCAAGGCGACGAUGCGUAGCCGACCUGAGAGGGUGAACGGCCACACUGGGACUGAGACACGGCCCAGACUCCUACGGGAGGCAGCAGUAGGGAAUCUUCGGCAAUGGGCGAAAGCCUGACCGAGCAACGCCGCGUGAAUGAUGAAGGCCUUCGGGUUGUAAAAUUCUGUUAUAAGGGAAGAAUGGCUUUAGUAGGAAAUGGCUAGAGUGUGACGAUACCUUAUGAGAAAGCCACGGCUAACUACGUGCCAGCAGCCGCCGUAAUAC
rnacentral:rRNA from 1 species